rnacentral:tRNA from 1 species
GGCGUCAUAGUGUAAUGGUAGCACGCCUGCCGAUUAGAGGAUUAUACUUUGAAAGCAGGAAGCGCGGGUUCGAGUCCCGAUGGCGUCACCA